CCGUAUUUGUCCUAAGGAAUAUGCAAAGCCCCUCUUAACCCGCUUCUUAACUAAAAAGAAGUCUGGCUAAUUAGAGGGUUGAAUGUGAUCGUGAGGCCUAUGUUCCAUUGCAGAGAUUGAUCAUAGCUCGUUGGAGCUCCAGACAUGCAAGCGUUGUCAAUUGGUCCUAAAUAUGAUUAUGGGGAAUUUAGGAGACAGUAAAGUGAGAUUAUUUGACUAUUUAGCUACCAUGAACUCUCUUUAAUAACAG